GACGAACGCUGGCGGCGUGCUUAACACAUGCAAGUCGAACGAUGAACCGGAGCUUGCUCCGGGGAUUAGUGGCGAACGGGUGAGUAACACGUGGGCAACCUGCCCCAGACACCGGGAUAACCUUCCGAAAGGAUGGCUAAUACCGGAUAUGACCACUUCGGGCAUCCGACGGUGGUGGAAAGGAUUCUGGUCUGGGAUGGGCCCGCGGCCUAUCAGCUAGUUGGGAGGGUAAUGGCCUACCAAGGCGACGACGGGUAGCCGGCCUGAGAGGGCGACCGGCCACACUGGGACUGAGACACGGCCCAGACUCCUACGGGAGGCAGCAGUGGGGAAUAUUGCGCAAUGGGCGAAAGCCUGACGCAGCGACGCCGCGUGAGGGACGAAGGUCUUCGGAUUGUAAACCUCUUUCAGCAGGGACGAAGCGAAAGUGACUGUACCUGCAGAAGAAGCACCGGCUAACUACGUGCCAGCCGCCGCCGUAACAC
rnacentral:rRNA from 1 species